AUAGGUCAGCAUGGCCAGAGUUUCAGAAAACAAAGAUAUUUCGUAAGAAGAGGAAUUAAUUCCAGCUCACAGUGAGAACAUUACAAGAGAAGCAAGUUCAUUGUGAAGGGCAAUCAGAUAGAUCCUGACCUCCUGAAUUUGGAAGAAGCCAGAAUGUCAUUGUAAGUGGUCAAGUCGCAAGGAAGGAAAUGGACUUCAGAAAAGACUGCCAGCCAUAAAAAGCACACGAGAUGAAACCUGCAGGUUUAGUGGUAAUGUGGUCACUAGGAGAGACACAAACUCCUACCAAAGUAGAUUUAUUAUAG
rnacentral:lncRNA from 1 species